GGGAAUAAUUGCGGAACUGGAGCCGGAGUUGCAGGGGUUGUGACUUUACAUGGAAAGUUUGACAUAAUUCCAUCACUGGUACGGUGCUUCCGCCGCCCGCGCCGCUGGGAUCAGGUGGGUUGUCAAUCCAAGUCGAAUCCAAGUCUGUAAUGGUGGUCCUACGGUUCCUCCAAAAAUAUUGGGAGCUUUGAAGUUGAAGCAGCAGAGAGUUGAUACCAUGGAAGGGAUAAAAAGAAAGAGCUCGGGCAAUAUGAGACCUCCACACGUUCAUCUCCAACUCCAAUGAGCAGACAUAGGAAACUGGUUUUCUUUGCAAGGCCCAGAUUGUUGGUGUCCUCAAAUAAAAUGGAUGGUCCUUUGUUUCUUGCAUCAGUUGCAGCAGGAAGCUUUCAAAAUCCGUCACUUUCUUCAGUUGCAACCGAUAUCUUUCUUCCAACCUGACAUGAGUCAUCAGAUCCAGGUUUCGUGUUGAACUAGCUGUCGAUGACGGAAAGGACAGUGCCACUUUUGUGGUCUUUGCCAAAGAGAUGACAAAACUCAUCAAGAAAGAGGCAACAAAUCUGGCUCUUGAGGAAGUACGUUUUCCUUUCAUAAUUUCUCUUAAAUUUGGCAUAUAAUAUUUUCUCUUACUCUAAAGCCGCACA